rnacentral:sRNA from 1 species
UUUAAUAGCAAUAUAGCUUUGUAUAGUUUCGACAGUUACUAAUCACAAAAACUUUAUUAAAAGCGUUACAAAAAGUUUUACUCUCAGUUUUUUCUAUAGUUCCUUCUAACAACUUUGCAUUAUUCCGAUAAAACUAAUAGCUAAAAAACUUGUAAAGAUUUUGGUUACCAAUCAGACCCAUCAUUUGUUAAUUUAAAGUAACUUA